GACGAACGCUGGCGGCGUGCCUAAUACAUGCAAGUAGAACGCAAAGUUUAUACCGUAGCUUGCUACCCCAUAGACAGUGAGUUGCGAACGGGGGAGUCACGCGUAGCUAACCUGCCUGGUAGCGGGGGGUAACUAUUGGUAACGAUAUCUAAUACCGCAUCAUAUUAAUUAUUCCAUGAUAAUUAAUUCAAAGCUGCAAUUGCACCACUACCAGCUGGUUCGGUGUUGUAUUAGCUAGGAGGGGAGGUAAGGGCCCACCUAGGCGGCGGUACAUAGCCGACCUGGGAAGGUGGUCCACCACACUGGGACUGAGACACGGCCCAGGAUCCCACGGGAGGCAGCAGGAGGGGAACUUCGGCAAAGGACGGAAGGCUGACCGAGCAACGCCGCGGGAGGGAAGAAGGGCUUCGGAUCGUAAAGCUCUGUUGUAAGAGAAGGACGGGCGUGAGGGUGGAACGUUGACGCUGUGACGGUAUCUAACCAAUAAGGGCCGGCUAACUACGUG
rnacentral:rRNA from 1 species